UUUGGUCAGUUGCUUUCCCAUUCUGGUCACCUCAUUUUGGAACAGGGCAACUGUUAAAUCCCUCUUACCAUGCAUCUCUUGGCUAUAGUGAACUCUUACCCAGAAACAGUUAACUAAGAAAUCUCAGCAGGCAGAAGCUGACCAAGUCUUUCAUUUGUAUCUGGGUGCUGCUAGUCCAAGGUCGUGGCCUCGCUAAGAUUGACCAGGAGGUGGGAGCUCUAUGGAACUGUCUUCUGGAGAGGGAAGGAAGUGCAUAUGCAGUCCACAUCCACAGAAGUUAUAGCUCCACUGUCUUCAAAGACCGAGUAUGGAUUAGUCUAGAGCCUUGCCUGCAAGAAUCACCUUUUUCCCUUCAUCCUUCCAAAACUCACGUUUCAAGCAGUGAGUCGCAAGGAGAAUCCUUGCUGGCAAUGAUUAUGCUCCCUGCCCACUCCAUGGGGGAAGCCUGGCCGACAUUUCAAGGACAUUUCAAGGGAAGAGAAGAUUCCUGAUUUUCAGGAGAGUUUGCAGUUUGUUUUUCUAGAAGGCAAACAUCCAUUCUCCUUCUAGAACCAGAGAAAAACCACAGGAAAAUGGUAAGGACACUAAGAGGAGGAGGAGAAUGCGACUUAUCCAAGACCCAUCACUGGUAUGCGACAAGAACUGGAUUUGGAUCCAGAGCUGUGGUUCUUUUCUCUGCACCAUAAUGCCCCACAUUGGUUUGCCAGAGAGAGCCUGUCAGAGGGUUCAAAGGCAACAACUGUGGAGGAGGAAGAGGCUGGGAGAGGGAGCCAGAGUUUGGAGUGUUAAAAGGGCAAAGGAGAGGAGAAAUCUAGGGAGACCUAAAGAGCAGCACUGGUUCAUUUCUGCCAUCAUCCCUGCCUCUUCACUGGAUCAGUCCACUUAAAGGUCAUGCAUCUGAAUCCCUAAGUCUAUCUUAGUCCUUGCGCUUCUCAGCACCUCUUCAGCUAACCUACUGGCCACCUUUUGGAAACUCUCCUCUCCAGUACCACACUCCUGGUUCUUGCAGACAGCUCCUUCUCUGGCUUUUUGCCCUCCUCCCGCCCUAAAUAAAAGUAGA